rnacentral:lncRNA from 1 species
CUCGACUCAAGCUCAUAGCGGGAUCAUAUUGUAAUUAUUUUCAUACAUUAGCAAGUUCGUACAAUCAAUAACAGAAUGUUCUUUCUCUGCCUAGUGGCAGUUGAACAAAUAGAAUCAUCCGAUCACCCACACUGCACAUUUGUUCAAAUCUUGGAUCCUAGCAUCACUCACACUUACCCAGAAGUAAAAGCAUCCGUCUUUACUAUCACAGCGAUGAUGGAGUUGUAAAUCUCUUCCAUCUUCCAAGCUUCUCUCUUCCCUUUGUAAACAUCAAAACAAUACCAAUUAUCAUUAUUAUCUUUCGGAAACUCUUACAUGAAUCGGAAAUCAUCACAACUUCCAACAGCUUCCGGAAUCAUGCCAGUCUUGUUUAGACAAUUAAAAGACGCGAUUCUUGGAAAACUAGAGUACGUACCAUCCAGGGUCCAACAGCCAGUUCAUUGUCAGCAAACAACACUGCCUUGAAGCCCAUAGGAUGUAACAACUCUUCAUAACUACAAACCCUGAAGUACGAUAAGUGACCUUUACACAGGGUUUAUAAUCUACAAAAUUCAGGAGCAAGCAAAUGAAAGGGAGACUUACUCGGAAACCGAAACUUUUUAGGGAGGCCCCCCAACAUGAUCGCUUAUAUGUCAGCAUUACUUCAACUGUUAAUCAAGACUAUCAAACAAAUUCACCUUUCUUUCAAGGAAUUGACAUGAAAUGCAGCAUCAUGUAACGUCCCGACGGAAUUGAGAUAUUCUCCGGCAAGUGAUUAUGAGAAUGAUAAGCCAUUUAGGCAAGAAGGGAAGUGAUUUAGAUGAGAAGAAAAAGAGAGGAGAAAGGCAUGAGCCUCAAAGGGGAGAAAAUUAGGGGAUCAAGUUAAAUUUAUUGUUCAUUGAUUGAUUCUAAAACUAAAGAGAAUGACCGUAUAUACCAAUUUUCCAAUUAUGAUCUUACAAUUUAGUCACUCUACUUACUAUCCUCUACAAUUAGGUCCUCAGUCAUUACAAUCCUUAUCCCUUAAAAGCAGACUUGUCAUCAAGUCUGUUAACAAUAUCGCAACUGACUAAACAAAAAAAUGAACAAAAAAAUUGAAAGAUAAUAGUAGAGUCGUCAUGUAAUCGAGCUCAUUUGAUCUUUGAUCUCUU